rnacentral:rRNA from 1 species
UACGUAGGGUGCGAGCGUUAAUCGGAAUUACUGGGCGUAAAGCGUGCGCAGGCGGUUUUGCAAGCCGGGUGUGAAAUCCCCGGGCUCAACCUGGGAAUGGCAUUCGGGACUGCAAGGCUGGAGUGCGGCAGAGGAGACUGGAAUUCCUGGUGUAGCAGUGAAAUGCGUAGAUAUCAGGAGGAAUACCGAUGGCGAAGGCAGGUCUCUGGGCUGACACUGACGCUCAUGCACGAAAGCGUGGGGAGCAAACGGG